UUAAACAAACAGGGAUAUGUAUAAAUAUAUGGGGAACCUAAUGCCCCACAGACUGACCCCCAAUAAUCACUGCCGGGGUUUUUCUCACAUUAUUCGCUGUGUUUUUACUUACUAAUUGCUGUGUUUCUCUUUCCUUCCAUAUAACAACAGUUUUGACCGUCUGCAACAAUGGCAUCAAGACUCUGCGACAGUUUCCUUGACUGUGUCCUUGACUGCGUGCGGGGUCUCUGCACGCGUCUCGGCUACAGCAAGAAGACUGAAAAAUGCCCUAAAUGGGAAGCAGUCCUCUACGUCGUUGAGGAUGAAUCAAUAACUUUUAUCCCUACGAGGAUAAUUAAUUAGGUUUAGGUUAAUAGGUUAGGUUAGGAAAUAAAAAAAAA